rnacentral:rRNA from 1 species
AUUGAACGCUGGCGGCAGGCCUAACACAUGCAAGUCGAACGAGUGGCGGACGGGUGAGUAAUGUCUGGGAAACUGCCUGAUGGAGGGGGAUAACUACUGGAAACGGUAGCUAAUACCGCAUACCAUCGGAUGUGCCCAGAUGGGCUUAGCUAGUUGGUGGGGUAACGGCUCACCUAGGCGACCAUCCCUAGCUGGUCUGCGAGGAUGACCAGCCACACUGGAACUGAGACACGGUCCAGACUCCUACGGGAGGCAGCAGUGGGGAAUAUUGCACAAUGGGCGCAAGCCUGAUGCAGCCAUGCCGCGUGUAUGAAGAAGGCCUUCGGGUUGUAAAGUACUGUCAGCGGGGAGGCGUUACCCGGAGAAGAAGCACCGGCUAACUCCGUGCCAGCAGGCGCGGUAAGAG